rnacentral:rRNA from 1 species
AGCAGUAGCCGCGGUAAUACAGAGGGUGCGAGCGUUAAUCGGAUUUACUGGGCGUAAAGCGUGCGUAGGCGGCUAAUUGAGUCGGAUGUGAAAUCCCCGAGCUUAACUUGGGAAUUGCAUUCGAUACUGGUUAGCUAGAGUGUGGGAGAGGAUGGUAGAAUUCCAGGUGUAGCGGUGAAAUGCGUAGAGAUCUGGAGGAAUACCGAUGGCGAAGGCAGCCAUCUGGCCUAACACUGACGCUGAGGUACGAAAGCAUGGGGAGCAAACAGGAUUAGAUACCCGAGUAGUCCCUGUCUCUUAUAC